rnacentral:misc_RNA from 1 species
GACGCUUAGACGGUGGACAGGUUCAGUCGGAAAGACGAGAAAUUGAGGUUGCUUUACUUUACUCUUCAUAUGGAUUCUGUCCUAUGGAACAUUUGUUAUUUAUGCUGUAUAAACUGUAAAGUAGGGAAGAUAAAAAAACUCAAUUUGUUUUCUACGUUAAUCAUAAUAUGUUGGUUUAGGGGGGGGCACAAAGUGCAUCAAAAAAUUUUGAGAAAACAGUUUUUGUGUUGGAUCUUAUUUAAUGAGAAACUUGCAACGUUAGCUACUACCUCUAUUCCCAAACAGCUGUGGCAGAUUUAGAUGAUUUCCAUGCAUAUCCACUUCCACUGCUCCAUGAAAAUGUAAUUUUGGUAAUACUUGAUCUGAACGUCAUCUCUAUAAUUUACCCAUCCUCCUACUAAAAGAUGACCAAUACUUCAACAGGCAAUAAGAAAGCACACAGCAAUGAGACCGCAAUGUAAUUAUUCCAUUAUUGGUAUUACGUCAGAUACCCUUUCUACAACCAGCCCGAUGACCAGCAGCACUUUGAAAAGUCACGAAGUCACUCGAAGAGUCAACGAAGUCUAAAACUACCUGGGCGCAAGUAAUUCCUCACGUAGGAGCCCCCACGUCAUUUUCUCUCUGCACUCUGCAGCCCAUCGCCGCAGUUAACCGCAACAAGUUCCUUUCUGCUGUUCUCCGCCUGAUCCUCAAUGCCACUGAGACCACCGAGAUCCGUAUCGCCGCCGUCUCCACCAUGUUCCACUGUUGGUUCCACGUCGGGCACCCUUUCUACAACCAGCAGUACGAUGACAAGCAGCACUUCGAGAAGUCUUUUACAAAGUUGAAAACUACUUCGGCGCAAGUAAUACCAACAACCACGUUGGUAAGCUGAGUAAAAAUCAGGAAAGACGACUCGAUAAUAUCCAGGCGUUCAAUCAUGACUAUAAUCAUCAAGGGCUCAAGGCGUUGAUGUCAGUAAUUGAGACCAGGUGGGGAAUCAAUACUUGAGAGACUACACAAAAAAGAAAUAAAAGAUGGAUGAUGCCAAAUGCUUGGGUUGGCCGCCCAUAUUGAAGUAAUCGUCAAUCUGAUGCCCUUUGAACCAAUAUACGUAAGUGAAGAAGAAGCAGCAACAGCUGCCCUAUCUUUAAAAGUGAUCUCCAGUUUAAUACAGCUGCCGAAAUGGUCAGACACGGAUCAUGAACUUAAUUCGCCCGUUUAGUGUCACUAAUUUGCCAUUAUUUGUUUGAACGCAUGCAAAGCAUUGGACUCCAACAUCCCCACAAUUAACCGACACAAUUAACCGAAAUUCGGACGCUAUAUUCUUGCCGGAAGGGACAACAGAUAUUCUACCGGGUUCGCCAUCUCUCAUAUCGGUCUAUUACAGCGGUAAUCAAAGUACAACGGCGUAUACAAGAUUGUUCAGACUCGUCCAACGGUACGUAAUUGAUCUGGCUUAUCUCAUGUUUAUUCUAUCUUAAAUUCUACAUUGCAUUAGUGUUAUUAGAUGUGUUGAGUAAGAGUUAGAUUUUGUUUGGUUAGAUUGUGACGUUGGUAAAUGUGUAUGUUAUACAGCCAGACUUGGAAAUAGUAGUGACAGAUUUGGGGAUCAACCAACAUGAAGAGAGAUUUGAAAGCAGGGAGCAGGAAUUUGGUUUGAUCUAUAUCCGGAAGUUCAUUAUAGCUGGAGGCUGAGAGUGUUGUGGAAUCUUAUAUCUUCCAUGUCUUUAUCCAUUUUUCUUCCAGGUUUUGCUUACUCUUAAGUGUAUCAAUUGAAAAAGAAAUCCCGGAGAGAAUCAAAUAUCUCGGCCAGUGUAAGUCGAACGCAAUUUUUUGCAUCCUCGCAAGAUCAUCGUAUGGUUUCUUUCCUCCCCUAUUACUUGCUCAUACCAACUGAUAAACUGUCCCGGGAGGAUCUCCUGAAGGAGAGCCCCAGCAUCAAGACCAAUCAUUUGGUUGGCGUCAGCUGCGGUGGCAAGAAACUGCGAACUGGCAAAGACCCACCCCGAGAUGAUCGUUGUCUUGAGCACUCCGCCCAACACCAACUUUAUCCCUGCCAUUGGGCGUCUUAUUCCUCACGUCGGAGCGGCUCCGUUCCUCACGCCGUCUGCCCCCACGUCAUCUUCUCUCUGCAGCCCAUCGCCGCAGUUAACCGCAACAAGUUCCUUUCUGCUGUUCUCCGCCUGAUCCUCAAUGCCACUGAGACCACCGAGAUCCGUAUCGCCGCCGUCUCCACCAUGUUCCACGAGUUGAAACAAACAUAGUUUUGAUUGUUUGCUGACCUAGAAACUCAUUUUGACGUGACAAAAGAUAGCUGCUGAAUUGAAGCUACAUCAAGAUUCAAGCUACACGCAAGCCCUUCCAAUUGUUCAAUCACGUUUUUUAUUUUAAGUUUAAUUCAUUCAGCACAUUUUUAAAUUUCGUUAAAUAAUUUUUAUUUUUCUAAUUAAGAUGAUCAAGACUUAAAGAAAAUAGUAUAAUUGAGAUCAAAUUGAUCUAUAGACAUUUUCAUCCACACGAAAUUCGGGGAAGAGGGAUAUGACGUGAUUCACGUUUAGUCCAGCAAACCCGUGACGACUCUUCUGUCGGGGCUGACGGUCCCUCCCGUCUUGGCAGGAGGCAGCAGCAGCAACGAGCCGAACUCGACGGCCCUGGCCGCCUACGAGGCGGACAAGAGUCCGAUGGCUCUGACAAGUCCCAGUCAGGAGAAGAAUUCGGCGGAAGGGCUGGGCCCGUCAAGCUGUUAUGUUUUUCCUAAUUGUUUAUGGUGUACAGAAUGUGGGCGGCGGGGCCGGCACCCAGGCCACGGCGCCUAGACGCAACGAGGAGGAGCCUUACGUCAUCCUGAAAGUGACGCAGGAUUGCACGUCGGAGACGGUCAUUCGCAAGGCCCUGAGAAGGAGGAAGAGGAAGAAGAGGAAGGCCCAUUUUGAUUUCUAAUUUUCUAAUGUUCCCGCGCGACAAGAUUUACAAAUUUUCGAAGAUUAAAGGCGCGAUAACCGCACGAGCUGGAACGUUACGUCCUGGUGGAAGAACGUGACCUGUGCCCGUCGCUGGGCCGGCACAGACGGUUGCUUAGAGACGACGACAAUGUGCACCAGGUACAAGCCAGGUGGACGACACUGGGCCGUUACGUGGCGGUCGAGCGAGGGCGCAUACGGGCCCGCAACGGAAACGUCGACUGAAACGACAAGAUUGGCCCGACAACGCCAGAAAUGAGCCGAAAUAAAAACUGGGGCCAUGCUCCGGGCCUCCCUCUUCACCCGGCGACUCCAGGCCACAAAAACCAAAAAGCCCAGGUGAAGGAGAUGUACAGCGAUCCAGGGCUGGGCCAGAGCAGCCGAUCCCGCGAGCGCAUCCGCUCCGAUUCCAGUUUGGUUCGCGACGGAGUGCAGGCGUCUGGCAGCCACGCCCACCACCACCACCACAAUUAAUUAGAUCUCACAAUCCUACCCCGUUUUGAUGUCGUCGCCAAAUCGACGGAAAUCCCGUUCCCUUCCGUUUCUCUAUUAAGCAACAAUCCACGUUGGACUAUCUAGACUUUUGGGAGGAUAUGUACAGCGGUCACACAAUAAGGUCACUUCCUUUUUUUUUUUUUUUUAAAUUUCAAAUUUAAUUUGACACAUGUGCCCAGAAGGGACAUAUCCGAGAGUGUGGCUCACGCCCGAACGUCCGACUUUGGAGAUUCCUUAUUUCCCUCAGGCAUUGAACCGAGACGGACCAGCAGAAGACCAAGAAUCGGACACUUGGAUUCUCGUUAACGGCCAAUUCGCCAGCUACCGUCGAGUGUUGUACGACAAAGCCAAUUGGCGACUGAUCUCCAAUCAGCUGAUGCUCAAUCACACCGUCAUCUCGAAAGUGACUCGGGCUCAAUUGAUUGACGACGCUUUCACGCUGGCCCUGCCCGGAUAUUUGGACUAUCAAGUGGUUGUUGAACUCAUCGAGUAUCUGACUUUGGUCAACGACGAGUUCGUCCAGUCUACCAGUUGAUUCCAUUUGAAAUUGAUCCAGGAACGGUCGAGACACAACGAAUCGCUUUAUAAUCUGUUCAAUCACGAUCGAAAGAUCAUGGAUCAUUUCAUUCUUUAUCACAGGAAUGCACCAGUAGAUUCAAGUUCGAGAAAACGGACCAUGGAGAGCCGGGCGACUUCAGCGACUGGAUCCGAGUUGGUGAUCCGUUGGAUGGAGUUGGCUGCCUAAACUGGAGUGACGACGGUGUGUGUGUCGAUCAGGUCAUGCGCCUCUUUCACGCUCAAAUGAACGGCUCAAUUACCCCCGAAGAGAAAAAGGCAAUGACGGAACAUUUGGAGCGCAAUUGGUGUGCGGUGAUUCGCUACGGUGGUAAGGAAGAAUGGAACUGGGCGUGGCGAGCUAGUCUUUGCGACAUGUGGUCGUCACAGCGAACAAAGAUUUUAUCGGCCAUGAGCUGCAGUCAAGAUCGUGAUCGUUUGAAACAGCUUCUUUCUCGCGUGUUUUCGCCGACCAUCGAACAGGACCCGCACGACACGUUCGCCACCAUUGAGAAAAUGACGGAAAAUCACGUCGCUUGUUCCAUGGUGUUGAACUUUUUGGCGACCAACUGGGAGAUCCUAGGGCGACAUUUUAGAAGAUCUGGCGAUAAUUUGAAGCUGCUAACCUCCGCCGCCAAAUUUUGUGAGUACACCAGACGAAUUGAAAGAGAUGUCCCAGAUUUUAUCCGACCUGGAAACUCAAUCGCGCUCUCUCGGACGGGAUUCUGGAGGUCAUCCGCAACAAUAUUCGCUUGGCUGAGUAGAAUUUGGAACAAGUCUAUUUUGCUAUCGAAUCUUUGAUAAUGACACGUCGUUCGACAAAUUCACUCGCCCAGACUAACUGCAUUCCGUAAGCUGUCAAAGCUGUUUUGUGUUUUGCUGCUUGUCCUGAUUUCUUCAUCGUUUUUUAUUUUCAUCGUUUUUACCGUUUGUUAAUUAAAUAUAGAAAUAUUCGGGUA